ACUGUACCUUCUGAAUGGUGUUCGGGGAAUUGAGAGUGUUCAACAUCAUUUGCAGUAAAUCAGUGGGAUCUGAAGGACUGAGCCUCAGCCCUGAGUUCUGGACUUGCCAUUACCAAUCUCUCUAGGUCAUGUCUGCGCUCAGAUUUACACUGAUCUUCCAGUCUAUCAGGUACAGAGUACUUCAUUAUGGGCACGAACAGAAAUGCUUAAAUGGAUGAAGCAGCUAUUUACGUCUGAUAGGAGCUAAGUGGGACAUUAAAUUAAUGCCAAACAAAUUUUGUCACACUGAGUUACUUAUUCAUCUGGAGCAAGGCCAGGAAAAUAAGACCUGAACCUCUUUAAUCGUAGCCAUGAAACAAAUGUUUCAAGAGUCGAGAACGCCGCUCCAGCUGUGGGUGUCUGUGUGUGCGUAUAUCCAUGUGCCAUCCACUGGACUGUGACAGGCAAGCAGGACACAAACAUGGGUGAAAACAAUACCUUUGAUUUCUGAUCUGAGAGAUUCUCUGUGCCAGCAAAAAUACUGGCAAAGAGCAUCCAAAACCUUGGGUUAGUCCCUGUUGUAGAAUGAUAUUUGUUCUUGCACAGAAAAGAGAAUUCUUCCUAAUUUCUCAAAAUGCAAAAUAUAGAUGAUCACAGCCACCAUUAUUAGGAUCUGUUCAGGAGUUUUGACCUUUGUUGUUGUUGUUUGUAUUUUACUUGUGAAUAUUAAAGCCACUUUUUUUUGGUGAAAAACCUAUGAAGAAUAUUCUUAGAAUCACAAAUCUAAGUUGUGGGAGUUGGGAACUUCUAAUCAUUUGCAUUUUAAGUAGCCAAGGUUACUUCACCAUUGCUGUGCAGUUCAUAAGGUAUACCUGCAUGCCACUUUGAUGAGUACUGCAAGGUUAAGAAAUACCCUGCAGGAAUUAAAAGGCUUGUCUUUUUUCAAAAUGUGUCAGUGAUUAUGGACUGCUUCAUUGCCUAUGAAAUAAAUAUGAAAAAAGGAAAUUUGUAUGAAAUAAAAGUAAAAAUUUGCGUGAGAUAGAAGUAAAAAAAUGCAUGAAACAUAAGUAAAUACAAUGAUCUAAUGACUUGACAGGCAAGCAUGAAGUGGUAAUUGGAGAACUGAGUCUGAACUUGCUUGACAUCUAACUUGAAACAAAAAUGUGUUUUGGAAAAGUCUUCCUGCUGCCAGGAAGUCCAGCUACCGGGGAAGCCGAUUCCUGUAG